CCACGCCCUAGUGGCGCCGGAGGAAGGAGCUGGCCUGUCAGCUCCUAAGGGGAGCAGUGCCAGGCCCUAUGGAGGCUCAGGUUGUCCCCAGCCCAAAGCCACCACACCCGGGACAUAAUAGCACCGGGGUCUGUUACAAUAGGAAGUACUAUUUUAAAAGAAACUACCCUCUUAAUUCAUGGGGAUGAUGAAUGUUACUCUGGUCCACAGCCUCGAUUGCCUAGGCUUUUAUGCACACAGGUGCCUAAAUGACAUUAUAAAUAAAUAAAUAAAAUUCAGGGUUUUGUUUUUUUUUUUUUUUUUUUUUUUUUUUUUUGAGAAAGGCAUAGCCACUUACACAAUGCUCAGCAAUGUGAAGGGACCCCCUGAUCUUGCUGCACCUAAUUACUGAGCACUGACUCAACCCCAAGAGCCCAGGGAAUGAUGGGAUACCAAGAAAAGAUGCCCAGGUCCUGUCCCAGCGCAAACGCUGCUCUUCUUUCCCCAUCAAGGACCUGACAUUGGCCUUGCACUAUUGAAACUCGCACUCACAUCAACUGAUCUCACACCGCAGAGCCAUAGGCCCCAAAGAGAACCCUCUCCACUGAAGAACUUCAAGGUCCUGAAGAUAAAAAAUAAAAGCAAUAAUAUUAUUUUCAAACAUCAAUAUUUUCAAUUUGAAAAUGUCAACUGGAGAUUAGCUGAGUCAACACACCGGACAAAAACAGUUUUCAAGCUGGUUAGGAGAAAAGAGGAGGAGGCCUACGAAGCUGAAGUGCACAGAGCCCACAGAAAUCUCAAUGCACACAAGUUCUCAAAGUCCAUGUUCGUCCCAGGCAUAACUCCACAAGACAGUCCAAAGAGAUACUCUUAAAAGCACGCUGUGUCUAUGUAUCUUCCAUCAGUCAUCAGAUGUUCCAGAGUGCUCCAAUGUGGGUGUGUAAGAGAGAACUACAUGUACCCUAACACCUGUCCAACACUGAUAGGAACAUGUUAAAUCUCAGCCUGAAGCAAGCUUUCACGGUUAUAUAAUAAAAGCCCUUUUUAAAGAGUUGAUAAUUGAGACACUAACACCAUUUUAAUUAGGGUGGCACAACUAGUCACUGAUUAUACCUGUGGGAAAUAAUGGGUACGAAAAUGUCACAUGGGCUGUAAUUAUAUUGAAAGCUUCUGGUGACUGGUGACAUGACAGAUGUGAGAAUGAGGCCCUGCUGCUCUGCUCAUGACGUCAUCUGAACACUGCUAAAUGCAUGUGUGGCUCUGGGUGCUCUUACUCAUCACAGACAAUCCAGUUCCUGGUUUCCUAUUUACAAAGGGCAGGCAGAGGAAGGGACCAGAG
rnacentral:lncRNA from 1 species